AACCUUAUGGACCUGCGGGCGUAUACCUGCGGAAGGAUCAUUACCGAGUUUACAACUCCCAAACCCCUGUGAACAUACCAAUUGUUGCCUCGGCGGAUCAGCCCGCUCCCGGUAAAACGGGACGGCCCGCCAGAGGACCCCUAAACUCUGUUUCUAUAUGUAACUUCUGAGUAAAACCAUAAAUAAAUCAAAACUUUCAACAACGGAUCU
rnacentral:misc_RNA from 1 species